rnacentral:rRNA from 1 species
UACGUAGGGGGCUAGCGUUGUCCGGAAUCAUUGGGCGUAAAGAGCGUGUAGGCGGCUCGGUAAGUCCGCUGUGAAAGUCCAGGGCUCAACCCUGGAAUGCCGGUGGAAACUGUCGGGCUAGAGUCCGGAAGAGGCGAGUGGAAUUCCUGGUGUAGCGGUGAAAUGCGCAGAUAUCAGGAGGAAUACCGGAGGCGAAGGCGGCUUACUAGCCAGACACUGACACUCAGACCCGAAAGUGUGGGGAUCAAACAGG